rnacentral:rRNA from 1 species
ACCAGCGGAGGGAUCAUUACCGAGUCUAAACAACUCAUCAACCCUGUGAACAUACCUAAAACGUUGCUUCGGCGGGAACAGACGGCCCCGUAAAACGGGCCGCCCCCGCCAGAGGACCCCUAACUCUGUUGCUAUAUGUAUCUUCUGAGUAAACAAGCAAAUAAAUUAAAACUUUCAACAACGGAUCUCUUGGCUCUGGCAUCGAUGAAGAACGCAGCGAAAUGCGAUAAGUAAUGUGAAUUGCAGAAUUCAGUGAAUCAUCGAAUCUUUGAACGCACAUUGCGCCCGCCAGUAUUCUGGCGGGCAUGCCUGUUCGAGCGUCAUUACAACCCUCAGGCCCCCGGGCCUGGCGUUGGGGAUCGGCGAGGCGCCCCCUGUGGGCACGCGCCGUCCCCCAAAUACAGUGGCGGUCCCGCCGCAGCUUCCAUUGCGUAGUAGCUAACACCUCGCAACUGGAGAGCGGCGCGGCCAUGCCGUAAAACACCCAACUUCUGAAUGUUGACCUCGAAUCAGGUAGGAAUACCCGCUGAACUUAAGCAUAUCAAUAAGCGGAGGA